UACAGGGGGGGCAAGCGUUGUUCGGAAUUAUUGGGCGUAAAGAGCUCGUAGGCGGUCUGUCGCGUCGGCUGUGAAAACCCGGGGCUCAACCCCGGGCCUGCAGUCGAUACGGGCAAACUAGAGUUCGGCAGGGGAGACUGGAAUUCCUGGUGUAGCGGUGAAAUGCGCAGAUAUCAGGAGGAACACCGGUGGCGAAGGCGGGUCUCUGGGCCGAUACUGACGCUGAGGAGCGAAAGCGUGGGGAGCGAACAGG
rnacentral:rRNA from 1 species